rnacentral:lncRNA from 1 species
GGGAGACACCUCCCAGGAGGGGCUGACAGACACCUCAUACCGGAGAGCUCUGGCUAGUAUCUGGCAGGUGCCCCUCUGAGACAAAGCUUCCAGAGGAAAGAACAGGCAGCAAUCUUUGCUGUUCUGCAGCCUCCGCUGGUGAUACCCAGGCAAACAGGGUCUGGGGUGGACCUUCAGCAAACUCCAGCAGACCUGCAGCAGAGGGGCUUGACUGUUGGAAGGAAAACUAACAAACAGAAAGGAAUAGCACAUCCACUCAGAGACCCCAUCCGAAGGUCACCAACAUCAAAGACCAAAGGUCUUGAGACUUCGGUUUCGCAUACAUAAAGAAGAUGGUACCGUAAAAUAUGAUCACCACAGUCAGGAAAUCAAAAGAAGAUCUAACAUGAAAUGUAUUUACUGCCAAGAAACAAACAGUACAAAUUAACUGAACAAUCAUUCUUUUGACACAUAUUAGAAGGAGUGCUUGCUUGAAGUUCUGACAUCCAGUUAUCUUCAGUAAUGUGUGUGACUAGAAUACAAUGAAAUUGGGAAUGAUGGAAGCACCUAUACCGCAUCGCCAAUAUGUGAAGAUCUACCCACGAUCAGACACACAUGCAGACGGAACCUUUCCUGCUGUUGAGGACAUGUUCCUGAGUUGAGGACACUCUCCCGAGCUGAGGUUUCUAAAACCCCUGGCCAAUCAACAACUCUAAGCUUAACAUCUUCAUUUCAUCAACCCCAGCAAACAAGCAGUAAAGGGGGCAAAAGACUACUCAACAAAGACUGGAAUUUUAAUUCAGCAAUUUAUAAAGUGUUUAAAAUUUCACAGCAA